CCUACGGGGCGCAGCAGUGGGGAAUAUUGGACAAUGGGCGAAAGCCUGAUCCAGCCAUGCCGCGUGUGUGAAGAAGGCCUUCGGGUUGUAAAGCACUUUCAGUGGGGAAGAAAGCCUUGGGGCUAAUACCCUCGAGGAAGGACAUCACCCACAGAAGAAGCACCGGCUAACUCCGUGCCAGCAGCCGCGGUAAUACGGAGGGUGCGAGCGUUAAUCGGAAUUACUGGGCGUAAAGCGCGCGUAGGCGGUCUGAUAAGCCGGUUGUGAAAGCCCCGGGCUCAACCUGGGAACGGCAUCCGGAACUGUCAGGCUAGAGUGCAGGAGAGAAAGGUAGAAUUCCCGGUGUAGCGGUGAAAUGCGUAGAGAUCGGGAGGAAUACCAGUGGCGAAGGCGGCCUUCUGGACUGACACUGACGCUGAGGUGCGAAAGCGUGGGUAGCAAACAGGAUUAGAUACCCGAGUAGUC
rnacentral:rRNA from 1 species